rnacentral:rRNA from 1 species
GACGAACGCUGGCGGCGUGCUUAACACAUGCAAGUCGAACGGAAAGGCCCUGCUUUUGUGGGGUGCUCGAGUGGCGAACGGGUGAGUAACACGUGAGUAACCUGCCCUUGACUUUGGGAUAACUUCAGGAAACUGGGGCUAAUACCGGAUAGGAGCUCCUGCUGCAUGGUGGGGGUUGGAAAGUUUCGGCGGUUGGGGAUGGACUCGCGGCUUAUCAGCUUGUUGGUGGGGUAGUGGCUUACCAAGGCUUUGACGGGUAGCCGGCCUGAGAGGGUGACCGACCACAUUGGGACUGAGGUACGGCCCAGACUCCUACGGGAGGCAGCAGUGGGGAAUAUUGCACAAUGGGCGGAAGCCUGAUGCAGCAACGCCGCGUGCGGGAUGACGGCCUUCGGGUUGUAAACCGCUUUCGCCUGUGACGAAGCGUGAGUGACGGUAAUGGGUAAAGAAGCACCGGCUAACUACGUG